ACGGCUCAGUAACACGUAGCUAACCUAACCUUAAGUCAAGAAUAACCUCUGGGAAACUGAGGCUAAUACUUGAUAAAAGAUAUACCCUGGAAUGAUAUAUCUUUCAAACUCGAGCUUAAGGAUGGGGCUGCGGCGGAUUAGGUUGUUGGCGGGGUAAUAGCCCACCAAGCCUGUGAUCCGUAAGGGCUCUUAGCGGAGAGGCCCUGAGAGGGAAUCUGAGACACUAUUCCCAGCCCUACGGGGUGCAGCAGUUAGGCAUAAUCUACAAUGCACGAAAGUGUGAUAGUUUGAGCCAGAGUGCUCCUCAUUCGAGGAGCUUUUGCCAAAUGUAAAAAGUUUGGCGAAUAAGGACUGGGUAAGACGAGUGCCAGCCGCCGCGGUAAUACUCGCGGUCCAAGUCGCAGCCAUUAUUAUUGGGUCUAAAAUAUCCGUAGCUUGUUUGGUAAGUUUCCUGUGAAAUCUCAGGUCUCAAGCUUGGGGCGAGCGGGAAGUACUACCAGACUAGAGACUGGGAGACGUAAGAAGUACGUUUUAAGUAGCGGUAAAAUGCUUUGAUCUAAGACGGACUCACAACAGCGAAGGCAUCUUACGAGAACAGUUCUGACAGUAAGGGAUGAAGGCCAGGGGCGCAAAACGGAUUAGAUACCCGUGUAGUCCUGGCAGUAAACACUGCACACUAAACAUCAGUACCUCCUCGGGAGGUAUUGGUGCUGCAGCGAAGGCGAAGAGUGUGCUACCUGGGAAGUAUAGUCGCAAGGCCGAAACUUAAAGGAAUUGGCGGGGGAGCAC
rnacentral:rRNA from 1 species